CCUACGGGUGGCAGCAGUGAGGAAUAUUGGUCAAUGGGCGAGAGCCUGAACCAGCCAAGUCGCGUGAGGGAAGAAGGUACUAAGGAUUGUAAACCUCUUUUGUCAGGGAGCAAGGACUGCCACGAGUGGUCCGGCGAGAGUACCUGAAGAAAAAGCAUCGGCUAACUCCGUGCCAGCAGCCGCGGUAAUACGGAGGAUGCGAGCGUUAUCCGGAUUUAUUGGGUUUAAAGGGUGCGCAGGCGGAAGCGGUAAGUCAGCGGUAAAAUGGCGGGGCCAAAACUCGCCGAGCCGUUGAAACUGCCAGUCUAGAGUGGGAGAGAAGUAUGAGGAAUGCGUGGUGUAGCGGUGAAAUGCAUAGAGAUCGCGCAGAACUCCGAUUGCGAAGGCAGCAUACCGGCGCCCAACUGACGCUCAGGCACGAAAGCGUGGGUAUCGAACAGGAUGAGAUACCCCUGUAGUC
rnacentral:rRNA from 1 species